AGAAAAGGAAAACACAGAAACAGAAGAGGAAGUUUGAUGAAUUGAUUGAUCGACAUAAUGAGAAAAGGGAAUCACUGGAACUGGAUUGGAAUUUAACUGAAUACGCUAAUCGAACAAAUGAGAUGGAAACACCAGACCAGUUGGUGGCGUGUGAUGCAUUGUGGGAACGACUUAAAUGGAAAAAGAAAACACAGAAACAAGCGAGGAAGUUUUAUGAAUUGAUUGUUCGACAUAAUGAGGUAAGUUAUUACUGUUUUGAUACAGAACACAAUGAUAUGUGUGAAGGUUCAAGGAGUUUUAUUGUCAUUGCAGUACACAACGAAAUACACACACACACACACACCCUGUACAGAUACAUAUUGUGCCCAUCAAGUCCAGUCUGU